rnacentral:rRNA from 1 species
AACGAACGCUGGCGGCAUGCCUUACACAUGCAAGUCGAACGGCAGCACGGGAGUAAUCCUGGUGGCGAGUGGCGAACGGGUGAGUAAUAUACCGGAACGUGCCCAGUCGUGGGGGAUAACGCAGCGAAAGCUGUGCUAAUACCGCAUACGAUCUACGGAUGAAAGCGGGGGAUCGCAAGACCUCGCGCGAUUGGAGCGGCCGAUAUCAGAUUAGCUAGUUGGUGGGGUAAAGGCCCACCAAGGCGACGAUCUGUAGCUGGUCUGAGAGGACGACCAGCCACACUGGAACUGAGACACGGUCCAGACUCCUACGGGAGGCAGCAGUGGGGAAUUUUGGACAAUGGGCGCAAGCCUGAUCCAGCAAUGCCGCGUGCAGGAUGAAGGCCUUCGGGUUGUAAACUGCUUUUGUACGGAACGAAACGGCCCUUUCUAAUACAGGGGGCUAAUGGCGGUACCGUAAGAAUAAGCACCAGCUAACUACGUGCCAGCCGCCGCAGUAA